AGAGAGAGACAUGCGCGCAUAUCAAUAAGCGGAGGAAAAGAAACUAACAAGGAUUCCCCUAGUAACGGCGAGUGAAGCGGGAAGAGCUCAAAUUUGAAAUCUUAAAGGGUUUCCCUUUACGAAUUGUAGUUUAAAGAAGUGUUUUCUGUUGAGGUUUUGGUAAAAGUUCUUUGGAAUAGGACAUCAUAGAGGGUGAGAAUCCCGUAUUUGACCAUUACUUUCAGCUUUGUGAUACACUUUCAAAGAGUCGGAUUGUUUGGGAAUGCAGUCCAAAAUGGGUGGUAAAUUUCAUCUAAAGCUAAAUAUUGGCGAGAGACCGAUAGCGAACAAGUACCGUGAGGGAAAGAUGAAAAGAACUUUGAAAAGAGAGUUAAACAGUACGUGAAAUUGUCAAAAGGGAAGCGUUUGACACCAGUGUUGUUUUUCUGAAAAUCAAUUAAAGAACUGUUUAUGCUAAGUUGUUUAGACUUUAUCAGCUAACUGUUUAGUUUUGAGCUUUUCUUUAAUGCACUUUUCAGUUAACAAGUCAACAUCAAUUUCUUUUGCUGUAAAAAAGCUUGAGGAAGGUGGCUUGAGAUUCGUCUUAAGUGUUUAUAGCCUCUUGCCUAUGCAGUCGGAGAGAUUGAGGUCUGCAGCGUAGAUCCUUCGGGGCUAAAUGCAUUUGUGCUAAGUUAUAGCAUUUUAUAGACAACUUGUUGACUAUGAUUUGUCCUGUAGCUUACUCGCUUAUGUUAUUUUACCUACGCUUAGGAUGUUGAAGACUCUACAGAGAUA
rnacentral:rRNA from 1 species